rnacentral:lncRNA from 1 species
GUUGGAGAGCCGCAAUAAUGUUGGAUUCUUCAUUAGCAUCACAUUCCAGAUGGUUCCUAUUUUCAUAUAACAUAUCAUCGUUACAAAAACGGCAUAUAUAUUCAAUAUGUUUUAAUGCUUCAUUUCCAAUGUUACUUGCGAUGUUUUCACAUUCAUAAUGGUACCAAAAAUCACACCGAUCACAGCCAAUUCCAUCGUCUACAUAUUUUCUACAGCCUGGACAGAUAUUUUUAUCAGAUUCUAUAUAUUGAGUAUCUAGAAUUUGUCUAUUGAAGUUCUUGGUUUGGCUAUUGUUCAUAU